UCCAGUUGUCCCGCCCAGCGGAUGGAACUGCCAUCAACCAACCCUCUGUCCCGGAGAAACAGCCAGCUCCUCCCCCACCUUUGCCCACACAUCAGAGCCUCCCAAGUUACAGGAGGUGACAUCAGGUGUGGCUGGCCUUGCCCUCUUCACCUGGGCUGGUUCGGGAGGCGCAGCUAUCCACCGUGAAAGCCCAGGGUGACAGGCCCUGCCACACCCGGAAGCUUAGACCGGCAAGGAGCUUCUACUUUACUUUGAUCUACAAGGAUCUGGCCAAAUGAAGGAAGGGCGUGCCCAAAAUGGGAACAACACAGCAAAGGCCAAGGAUUCAGCAAUCGGGACCUGAUAUCGUUGAUUCAUUUCCUAGCAUACCAGAAGCCUGGAAAAGUUCCAGUUCAGCUCUCCUGAAAACAAUUCACUAGGCUCUGCCCUCAGUGUCUGUUCCUGUUUCGAGUUCCUGCCCUGACUUUAUUCAUGAUAGACUGUGUUCUGGACCCACAAGCUGAAAUAAACCCUUUCCUCCCCAAGAUGUUGGGUGGUGGUGUUUAUCACUGCGACAGAAACCAUCGAUCCUGCUUCCUUACUGGUCCUCUGGCUCUGCCUAACUUCCACAUUAAUUCGGAAAUUCUCUGCCACUUUCCCACUAACGACAGCUUUCUGAUUCCUGAGCCACAAUUUUGUUUUUCUUUAAAGCAUUAAAAAUUAAUGGCAGUGGUACCCCACAAGGAGCCUUUCAUGCCCUGCUUUCUCUCCAAACUAGACUUCCUUCCAUCCUCCCUCCCUCUCCCCAGUCAUAUGUGAUCCUAGACUGCCCUGACUUCUCUAAGAGAAGCUAGAUUAUAUUUUUUUAGUUGUGGGUUAACACAGACUUUCCCGGGAGCCGGUGGUGUAUUAUUUGAGAGCCCCACUCGGCAGCCCCGGCAGGGAGUUCUGGCUCAGAUCAAAUCAGAGCUAAGAGCCACUGCUGGCCACCACUUCCUGGUCCUGGCUGUGCUC